UUCCCUAUCAGCUGGCACCGGGGCAGCAGAAAAGCCUGAACAGAGAGCAGAGAUGUGAAGCACUGUGACGUUACCGAAGCUUCUUGCGCCAGUACGAGAAGGACGUCUGAGAAAUAAUUCCUGCGUCUGUCCGUAGCCACUGCUUUUCCUUACGUCAUCAAACCCAUGUCAAGUAUGCAUGCUUUGUCCCUUCCAUGGAAACUCGAAAAGUCAGAGAAAUAACAUAAAGACAGUUGAAAACUUCAUUAAGAAGCAACUGUUGGCACAGGUCACUGCUGCCAUAAUGCAUUUUUUCUGCCUAAGUGUUGCUCUUUUCAAGUUUGUGUCAGUGCACCACCUAUAUUUUGGAGCACAACAACACCUGCUGCAGUUCCUGCCCUUCAUGCUGCUGUGCCGUCUGAACACUGACUGCUGCCAAACUGUGGUAUAACCAAAGAUCUGAGGUAUUUGCAUGGGAAGGGACUUUCUGGAGUCCAAGCAAGGCUUGCAACCAGGAUGGUUUAAAACUGCAAAAGUACGUGGGAAAUCCAGAUUCUGUUGAAAAGACUUACGUGGGACUUCUAGAACAGGAAAGACUUAGGCCCUUUUCAUUAAUAGUAUGAGGAAAUCCCCAUGUUUCCCUUAGAACAUUUUACUGUAACUAAUUGCAGAUGACAGUCUUCUUGAACAGGACUAGCUCCAGCUCUGAUCCUUCAUAAAUACCAAAUUAAUUAGAAAAGAAUUAGAGACAAACUGUUGCACAUAAGAAAUGGCUCAAGAAUGGAAUGCUUUCCAUGGUGAUUUCUUUUUAUUUUUUUAAAUAGAAGUCAAGUUCUUAAGUUCAAGCCAGCAUUUAGGGGCUACAGCAAUGUCGAAGCCUUGGCAGGAUAAAGCACCCUGACUGAAGAUUAUUGUUAUUAUUCAUAUUCUGGAAGAAGGAGCUAAUUGUGCAAGUGCCUCUCCAAACAAUUCAGAAGGGUGCUUUUUAAUGCUUUUACUUAUAUCUUUUAUUGCUCGUUUAAACUUCAGACUGCUUCUGGUUUCAUUUUUUUCUCCCUGUCAAAACCACAAACAUUUGGUUACAGUGUGGUUAGUUCAUCUCCAAUUGUCACAGCUUUCCUUCGGACCUUUCUUUCCAACCUUGCAUGUGCAGUGGUUAGCUCGAUAAAUCUGAGCUUCAGGUUCCAGUUCUUUGGAAGAACCAGAGCUUGACACUACACUGGGACCAAAAACUGUGGAGAUGUCAGCUUUCUGCAGAGACAUCUUUUCAGUUUUUCAUCUUCUCUCCGUCCUUUCCCACUGACAGCUGUUCUGUAGUUUAUGAGGAAUGAUACAGGUGACCACCCUGCUGUGCUGGAAGUAUCAGCAGGCCAAGCACUGCAAAAAAUCACAUCCCCUGCCCCGGCAGCUCCCCACCAUGAACACAAGUGCCUGUUUGUGCAGUGCCUAACAGAUUAUGCCACCAUGUAGUGAAGUGUGGUGAAGAACCGCUUCCACAGAGUUCCUAAGAGAAAAGACAAACAGAUCUGAAAAGAGAUCACAUGAGAACAACUGCAGAAUUGGCAUCAGAGAAGUACUUCUAUUUAGCCAUACAGAAUCCAUUGCCCUGCUCUCUCUCUCUCUCAAAAAACUUCAUACCUUCACAUGUGAUCUUCACAGUCCACUUUGGAGAGCACAAGACAGAACCACAUCCCCUGUGGCUUUUGGGAUCUGUUUCCCACUGUUCAAGUCCAAAGGAGCUCCCAUAACCUCCCUGCCUGGCUGCUCUCAGCCUUGAGGUGGAGCUGAAGCUGAGCUGCUCAAGCACCAAAGUCUCUCUCUGACCUUAACUUAUUUCAGAUGCAGGGGAGGCCUGGUUUUCAGCUGAGUUGGCAGGCCAAAGGGCCCACCCAGCACCAUUGGUCAGUCCUGUGUGAAAGGCUGUGGGGACACUUGGGAGUAGGAUGUGGAUGGGGCGAGGGCAAGCACUGUUUGACCUGUGGAAACCCAGGUGGGCCUGCAUAGGUGCAGCAUCAAACCACAGCGUCAGCCAGCCAAAAACUCCACAUAAAAUGACACCCAGAUGCUGUUUUGCUACUUUGGAGCUUCGCUGAUGGAUGAGAUCCCCAAACAACUUUCUUUUUGAGUAAUUUAGUGUUUCCAAAUCAAGUAAGCCACUUUCAAUUCUUCGACAGCAGUUCUAAAGCCUCGAGGCAUGGAGUAUUCCGCAGCAGUCCAUGGAGAGGCAGCACGUUAUUAACACAGAGGUACAGCGCUCAGAAAUUACUAUGGCUCUUUUGAAGUUACGUCUGGCUGAAUUUGCAAACAUCAGAACAUUACGCAAGAAAUAAAAGCUGGAUUGAAUACUCU
ensembl:lncRNA